UGGGGAAUUCUCCGCAAUGGGCGAAAGCCUGACGGAGCAAUGCCGCGUGGAGGUGGAAGGCCUACGGGUCGUCAACUUCUUUUCUCGGAGAAGAAACAAUGACGGUAUCUGAGGAAUAAGCAUCGGCUAACUCUGUGCCAG
rnacentral:rRNA from 1 species